GCACCGGUGGUGUAUGGUACACGCGCCAUGCCUGUCUGAGUGGAACCACGCGUUUAUCGGCGAGCCGGGGUUCGAUUCCCCGCCGGUGCA